AGGAAGACGGCGAGCUCAGAGUCUCCUGCUGCUUGGUCCGCCGCCGUCUUCCCCUGGUGAAAAGCAGCCAGCGAAGCACCGGCCUCCACCAACAUCCGACACACUGCAUGCUGCUUCUCUGAGGCAGCUUUGUGCAAGGCGGUCUCCCCCCUGCAGACACACAGGAAGGCUAAGCAAACAUGCUAGUGGAGUUUAACAUCAGCAAACCUACAUAAUGAAUACAGAACAUAUUUUCCAACCUACUUGUCUCUGUCUGUUAAAUCCAGGAGAACUUUUGAACCUGCAGAGAUGAAGCUGACCAGAUCUGUGUGUCCGUUCUGGGCAGCUAGAUGUAAAGCAGAACAACCGGCGGAGUCUCUCACCAACAAGCUGACUCCUCGACGUACGCUGUCCGUCAGCUGGACAGAAAAUACGACACAAUGUUCAGGAAUCUUCAAGUUUUAUGCAGAAAGUGAAAAAGAUGCAUUAAAAUUAUGCGCCAGCUUCCUGGAUCUGAGAAAGCAAAAGUGAAUCUUGUUUUGUGCAACGUCAUCUCUGGCUCACCUGCUUCUGCAGGUUCGACCACCAGAUCUGGCAUCCCAGCCGACGACGCCUGGCUCCCCACUGGUCCCUCGUGGUCCAGGAUGAAAACCUCG